GGGCCGUUAGCUCAGUUGGUAGAGCGUUGCAUUCGCAUUGCAAAGGUCAGGAGUCCGAUUCUCCUACGGUCCACAA
rnacentral:tRNA from 1 species